rnacentral:rRNA from 1 species
UCAGGCCUAACACAUGCAAGUCGAACGGCAGCACGGACUUCGGUCUGGUGGCGAGUGGCGAACGGGUGAGUAAUGUAUCGGAACGUGCCUAGUAGCGGGGGAUAACUACUCGAAAGAGUAGCUAAUACCGCAUACGCCCUACGGGGGAAAGGGGGGGAUCGCAAGACCUCUCACUAUUAGAGCGGCCGAUAUCGGAUUAGCUAGUUGGUGAGGUAAAGGCUCACCAAGGCGACGAUCCGUAGCUGGUUUGAGAGGACGACCAGCCACACUGGGACUGAGACACGGCCCAGACUCCUACGGGAGGCAGCAGUGGGGAAUUUUGGACAAUGGGGGCAACCCUGAUCCAGCCAGUCCGCGUGUGCGAUGAAGGCCUUCGGGUUGAAAGUAAUUGGGCAGGAAAGAAAUCGCACGGGAUAAUACCUC